rnacentral:rRNA from 1 species
AUUGAACGCUGGCGGCAGGCCUAACACAUGCAAGUCGAACGGCAGCACAGAAGAGCUUGCUCUUUGGGUGGCGAGUGGCGGACGGGUGAGUAAUGUCUGGGAAACUGCCCGAUGGAGGGGGAUAACUACUGGAAACGGUAGCUAAUACCGCAUAACGUCGCAAGACCAAAGUGGGGGACCUUCGGGCCUCACACCAUCGGAUGUGCCCAGAUGGGAUUAGCUAGUAGGUGGGGUAAUGGCUCACCUAGGCGACGAUCCCUAGCUGGUCUGAGAGGAUGACCGGCCACACUGGAACUGAGACACGGUCCAGACUCCUACGGGAGGCAGCAGUGGGGAAUAUUGCACAAUGGGCGCAAGCCUGAUGCAGCCAUGCCGCGUGUAUGAAGAAGGCCUUCGGGUUGUAAAGUACUUUCAGCGGGGAGGAAGGCGGUGAGGUUAAUAACCUCGCCGAUUGACGUUACCCGCAGAAGAAGCACCGGCUAACUCCGUGCCAGCAGCCGCAGUAA